rnacentral:lncRNA from 1 species
UGGCAGGGCUAUCCAUAGAUGAUUUGUGUUUGGGCUUGUGUCUCCCUUAUGGUUGUUAUUUAUGGUAGUUACUGUAUGAUAUUAUUGCAUGCUAUUUUAUUUAUGUUUCUUAUGUUUAGAUAAUUAUUUAGCUAUUUUUGCUGGAGUUACUAAUGCUCUUUUGUUUUUGUUUCUGUUUUUGUUUUUCCUUUUCUUCACUAAGCCGAGGGUCGAUUGGAAACAGCUUCUCUGCCCUUUCGGGUAGGGGUAAGGCUCGUCUACAUAUU